rnacentral:rRNA from 1 species
AGCAGCCGCGGUAAUUCCAGCUCCAAUAGCGUAUAUUAAAGUUGUUGCAGUUAAAAAGCUCGUAGUUGAAUUUCGGGGUUCUACCGUUGGUCGGGCAAUAGUCUGUACUGGCGUGUAGAAUUUCUACCUUCUGGGGAACCAUCAUGUUAUUUAUUUAGCGUGGUGGGAAACCAGAACCUUUACCUUGAAAAAAUUAGAGUGUUCAAAGCAGGCUUACGUCUGAAUACAUUAGCAUGGAAUAAUAAAAUAGGACGGUGGUCCUGUUUUGUUGGUUUCUGAAUCACCGUAAUGAUUAAUAGGGAUAGUUGGGGGCAUUAGUAUUCAAUUGUCAGAGGUGAAAUUCUUGGAUUUAUUGAAGACUAACUUCUGCGAAAGCAUUUGCCAAGGAUGUUUUCAUUAAUCAAGAACGAAAGUUAGGGGAUCGAAGACGAUCAGAUACCGUCGUAGUCUUAACCAUAAACUAUGCCGACUAGGGAUCGGACGAUGUUAAUUUUUCUUGACUCGUUCGGCGCCUUACG